UGAGGGUGGGGCGUAAUGCCCUAUAUGACAAGGGUGGGGGCGUGGCCUGUCCAUAUAUGGGAAAGGGGGUGGAGUUUAAACUCUCCUGCCAUAUGUGGUGAGGAAGGGGCGGGGCUUAAGAAUGGCAGCCUAUUACUAUUUAUGGAAAAUGGGCGUGGCAUAGAAACAAUGCCUUAUAUUGGGAAAAGGGGGUGGAGCUUAAACUGCUGCCAUAUAUGGCAAGGAAGGGGCGGGGCUUAAGCUUGCCAUAUAAUUACCAUAUAUGGAAAAGGGGCGUGGCUUAGCAACAGUGCCUUAUAUGGUAAAAAGAGAGGGGUGGGGCUUAAGUGGGCGUGGCCAUAUAUGAAAAGGGGCGGGGCCUCACCGCCAUUGCUUGGCCUCACAGUCCAGGUGGCUCCUGGGGGAGGGAAACCAGUAUGGACCAGUAUGGACCAGUAUAAACCAGCAGGGGCAUCCCAGUCCCUCCCAGUCCAUCCCAGUCCCUCCCAGUAUAAUCCAGUAUAUCCCAGUUUGUCCCAGUCCCUCCCACUCCCUCCCAGUCCAUUCCCAGUAUAUCCCAGUGCCUUCCAGUCUCUCCCAGUAUAUCCCAGUCCGUUCCCAGUUUAACCCAGCUCCCUCCCAGUCCAUUCCCAGUAUAUCCCAGUCCAUUCCCAGUUCCCUCCCAGCCAUUCCCAGUCCCUCCCAGUCCAUUCCCAGUCCAUCCCAGUUUAUCCCAGUCCAUUCCCAGUUUAUCCCAGUCCGUCCCAGUUCCCUUCCAUUCCCUCCCAGUCCAUCCCAGUUCCCUCCCAGUUUAUCCCAGUCCCUCCCAGUUUAUCCCAGUCCCUCCCAGUCCAUCCCAGUAUAACCCAGUCCCCUCCCAGUAUAACCCAGUACAACCCAGUUCCCUCCCAGUUCCCUCCCAGUCCCACCCUGGCCGCGGCCGCCAUGACCAGGAGGGCGGGGCCAAAGCUCAGCCAAUAGGGAGCGAGGAUUUCCAGCACCAGGGCGACGUCAUUGAGGAGAUCGGCCACGAACCUGGGAGAAAGGGGCGGGGCUUGUCCUUAUUCGGAGUUGUGGGCGUGGCCUGCCCAUAAAUGGCCACAGAAGGGCGGGGCUUGGGGAUUUGGCACCAUAUAUGGUAAUAGAGGGGUGGGGCAUAGGUGGGAGUGGCCAAAUAUGGAAAAAGGGGCGGAGAUUGAGGUGAGGGUGGGGCGUAAUGCCCUAUAUGACAAGGGUGGGGGCGUGGCCUGU
rnacentral:lncRNA from 1 species